GGCUACCCAAAGUGCUCCACACGGAGCUGUGGUGGAUGAGUAAUGUUCUCCGCUAGAAAGGAGAGGGCAAGGCUGGUGCCAGCCGCCGCGGUAAAACCAGCUCUUCAAGUGGUCGGGAUAAUUAUUGGGCUUAAAGUGUCCGUAGCCGGUAUGGUAAGUUCCUGGUAAAAUUGGGCAGCUUAACUGUCCUUGUGCUAGGGAUACUGCUCUACUAGAGGGCGGGAGAGGUCUGAGGUACUACAGGGGUAGGGGUGAAAUCUUAUAAUCCUUGUAGGACCACCAGUGGCGAAAGCGUCAGACUGGAACGCGCCUGACGGUGAGGGACGAAAGCCAGGGGAGCGAACCGGAUUAGAUACCCGGGUAGUCCUGGCCGUAAACGAUGCGCACUAGGUGAUGGUGCGGCUAUGAGCCGCAUCAGUGUCGUAGGGAAACCGUUAAGUGUGCCGCCUAGGAAGUACGGUCGCAAGGCUUAAACUUAAAGGAAUUGGCGGGGGAGCACCACAAGGGGUGAAGCCUGCGGUUCAAUUGGACUCAACGCCGGGCAACUUACCAGGGGAGACAGCAGAAUGAGGGUCAGGUUGACGACCUUACCUGACAAGCUGAGAGGAGGUGCAUGGCCGUCGCCAGUUCGUGCUGUGAGAUAUCCUGUUAAGUCAGGCAACGAACGAGACCCGCACCUUUAUUUGCCAGCAAGAAGUCACGACUUCGUUGGGAACGAUAAAGGGACCGCCGUCGAUAAGACGGAGGAGGGAGCGGGCAAAGGCAGGUCAGUAUGCCCCGAAACCCCUGGGCCACACGCGGGCUGCAAUGGUGCGAACAAUGGGCUGUGACUCCGAAAGGAGAAACCAAUCCCGAAAUCGCAUCUCAGUGGGGAUUGUCGACUGUAACU
rnacentral:rRNA from 1 species